AUGAUGUACAACACCAUCCUAA
rnacentral:snRNA from 1 species